rnacentral:rRNA from 1 species
GGAGUCUGGGCCGUGUCUCAGUCCCAAUGUGGCCGUUCACCCUCUCAGGCCGGCUAUGGAUCGUCGCCUUGGUGGGCCGUUACCCCGCCAACAAGCUAAUCCAACGCGGAUCCAUCUCGUACCGAUAAAUCUUUUCCCUCAUGACCAUGCGGUCUCGUGGGCUUAUGCGGUAUUAUCAGUCGUUUCCAACUGUUAUCCCCCAGUACGAGGCAGGUUCUCCACGCGUUACUCACCCGUCCGCCACUAAGAUAAAACAAGUUUUGACCGAAGUCUCGACAGCGUUUCAUCUCCGUUCGACUUGCAUGUGUUAGGCACGCCGCCAGCGUUCAUC